rnacentral:rRNA from 1 species
UUGAUUCUGGCUCAGAACGAACGCUGGCGGCGUGGAUAAGACAUGCAAGUCGAAACGCUCGUUUCGGGGUAGCAAUAUUCCGGAGCGGGAGUGGCGCAAGGGUGCGUAACACGUGGGUCAUUUGCCGUGAAGCUGGGAACAACUCGUUGAAAGACGAGCUAAUACCCAAUGUGCUCCGCAAGGAGUAAAAGCCGGGGACCGCAAGGCCUGGCACUUUACGAUAAGCCCGCGGCCUAUCAGCUAGUUGGCGGGGUAAAAGCCCACCAAGGCUAAGACGGGUAGCUGGUCUGAGAGGACGACCAGCCACACUGGAACUGAGACACGGUCCAGACACCUACGGGUGGCAGCAGUCGAGAAUUUUUCACAAUGGGCGAAAGCCUGAUGGAGCGACGCCGCGUGGGGGAUGAAGGGCUUC